AGUGAACGCUGGCGGUAGGCCUAACACAUGCAAGUCGAACGGCAGCACAGUAAGAGCUUGCUCUUACGGGUGGCGAGUGGCGGACGGGUGAGGAAUACAUCGGAAUCUACUUUUUCGUGGGGGAUAACGUAGGGAAACUUACGCUAAUACCGCAUACGACCUACGGGUGAAAGCAUGGGAUCUUCGGACCUUGCGCGAUUGAAUGAGCCGAUGUCGGAUUAGCUAGUUGGCGGGGUAAAGGCCCACCAAGGCGACGAUCCGUAGCUGGUCUGAGAGGAUGAUCAGCCACACUGGAACUGAGACACGGUCCAGACUCCUACGGGAGGCAGCAGGGGGGAAUAUUGGACAAUGGGCGCAAGCCUGAUCCAGCCAUACCGCGUGGGUGAAGAAGGCCUUCGGGUUGUAAAGCCCUUUUGUUGGGAAAGAAAAGCAGCAGGUUAAUACCCCGCUGUUCUGACGGUACCCAAAGAAUAAGCACCGGCUAACUUCGUG
rnacentral:rRNA from 1 species